UACGUAGGGGGCAAGCGUUGUUCGGAAUUACUGGGCGUAAAGGGCGCGUAGGCGGCAUGGCAAGUCAGGAGUGAAAGGCCUGGGCUCAACCGAGGAACUGCUUUUGAUACUGCCAAGCUAGAGUGCGGAAGGGGCAACUGGAAUUCCCAGUGUAGCGGUGAAAUGCGUAGAUAUUGGGAAGAACACCUGAGGCGAAGGCGGGUUGCUGGGCCGACACGUGACGCUGAGGCGCGAAAGCCAGGGGAGCAAAGCGGG
rnacentral:rRNA from 1 species